UGGAGCCCGCACCCGACAGACUCAGAGGGGACUGCUGGGGGAGAUGGCGCUGUCAGUCACGCGUCCUGGUGCCAGCCUCUCCAUGGAAACGGGAGGAGAGAAGGGCAAACACAGAUGGGAGCACCUGCUAAGAAAAGGGUUUGCAAAUGCCACAGAGGGAAAGCAGAGUAAAAAACUGCAGCUGCAAUGACGGACCUGCGUGCCGUGCACAAAAGGCUGGAGAGAAACUUCAGGAAGCCCUUCUUCACCACUGUUCUCAUCCUUCCACCUGUGGAAUGGCUUUGCUUCCCCAGAAGAACCGGGAACAAUCUUUUUUUAAUAUCUCCUAUGGGCCAAAACAUAAGCACUUAACACAAGUUUAUGUAUAUUUGGCCACAAUAGACCGCAUAUAAAAUUUUGGACAUCCAUUUAUCGAUAAAGCUCAUUCUAAAGCCAUAACGUUGAUAAUGAACACAUGGCAGAGUUCUUCAACAUGGCAUGUUAAUUUUCGACAUACACAUUGCAUGUAAUUUUCUUUUUCAAUUUUUUUUCUUUUUGACAGGAGGAGGACAAUCAUAAGUUGAAUUCAAAUAAAAAUAACACAGAAACA